rnacentral:tRNA from 1 species
GGGAAGGUAGCUCAGUGGUAGAGUGCUUGCCUUGCAUGCAUGAGGCCCUGAGUAUGAAUCCUCAGCACCA